rnacentral:rRNA from 1 species
CCUACGGGAGACAGCAGUGGGGAAUAUUGCACAAUGGGGGAAACCCUGAUGCAGCGACGCCGCGUGAGCGAUGAAGGAUUUCGGUAUGUAAAGCUCUAUUAGCAGGGAAGAAAAUGAUGGUAUCUGACUAAGAAGCCCCGGCUAACUACGUGCCAGCAGCCGCGGUAAUACGUAGGGGGCAAGCGUUAUCCGGAUUUACUGGGUGUAAAGGGAGCGUAGACGGGGAUGCAAGUCAGAUGUGAAAGCCCGGGGCUCAACCCCGGGACUGCAUUUGAAACUGUAUAGCUAGAGUGUCGGAGAGGCAGGCGGAAUUCCUGGUGUAGCGGUGAAAUGCGUAGAGAUUAAGAGGAACACCAGUGGCGAAGGCGGCCUGCUGGACGAUGACUGACGUUGAGGCUCGAAAGCGUGGGGAGCAAACAGGAUUAGAUACCCGUGUAGUC